rnacentral:rRNA from 1 species
UACGUAGGGGGCAAGCGUUGUCCGGAAUCAUUGGGCGUAAAGCGCACGUAGGCGGAUCUUUAAGUCAGGGGUGAAAUCCUGGAGCUCAACUCCAGAACUGCCUUUGAUACUGAGGAUCUUGAGUUCGGGAGAGGUGAGUGGAACUGCGAGUGUAGAGGUGAAAUUCGUAGAUAUUCGCAAGAACACCAGUGGCGAAGGCGGCUCACUGGCCCGAUACUGACGCUGAGGCACGAAAGCGUGGGGAGCAAACAGG